rnacentral:sRNA from 1 species
UAUUCUGCCCUACAGGGAAGGAUGAGAAGCUUCGACUAAGGUUCGACUCGAGCGAAGCGAGAGAACGUUGCCGCAGGCAACGGCCCGAAGGGCGAGGAGAGAUAGCGACGAGUUAUCCUUCCCCCACCACCA